CGCGUAGGCGGCCUGCUAAGUCGAACGUGAAAUCCCCGAGCUCAACUCGGGAACUGCGUCCGAUACUGACAGGCUUGAAUCCGGGAGAGGGAUGCGGAAUUCCAGGUGUAGCGGUGAAAUGCGUAGAUAUCUGGAGGAACACCGGUGGCGAAGGCGGCAUCCUGGACCGGCAUUGACGCUGAGGCGCGAAAGCUAGGGAGCAAACG
rnacentral:rRNA from 1 species